rnacentral:rRNA from 1 species
UGUGACUAUAAGUUUAACGGCCGCGGUAUUUUGACCGUGCAAAGGUAGCGCAAUCACUUGUCUUUUAAAUGAAGACCUGUAUGAAUGGCAUAACGAGGGCUUAACUGUCUCCUUUUUCCAGUCAAUGAAAUUGAUCUCCCCGUGCAGAAGCGGGGAUACAAACAUAAGACGAGAAGACCCUAUGGAGCUUUAGACACCAGAACAGACCAUGUUAAGCACCCCUGAAAUAAAGGAUAAAACUGAUUGGGCCCUGUUCUAAUGUCUUUGGUUGGGGCGACCGCGGGGAAACAAAAAACCCCCAUGUGGACCGGGAGCACACUACUCCUACAACCCAGAGUUACAACUCCAAGCAACAGAAUUUCUGACCAAUAAGAUCCGGCACAUAGCCGAUCAACGAA